rnacentral:rRNA from 1 species
GAUGAACGCUGGCUACAGGCUUAACACAUGCAAGUCGAGGGGAAACGACGGGGAAGCUUGCUUCCCCGGGCGUCGACCGGCGCACGGGUGAGUAACGCGUAUCCAACCUGCCUCUGACUGAGGGAUAACCCGUCGAAAGUCGGCCUAAUACCUCAUGGCAUCGUCUGCGGGCAUCCAACGACGAUUAAAGAUUUCAUCGGUCAGGGAUGGGGAUGCGUCUGAUUAGCUAGUUGGCGGGGUAACGGCCCACCAAGGCGACGAUCAGUAGGGGUUCUGAGAGGAAGGUCCCCCACAUUGGAACUGGGACACGGUCCAAACUCCUACGGGAGGCAGCAGUGAGGAAUAUUGGUCAAUGGGCGAGAGCCUGAACCAGCCAAGUAGCGUGCAGGAUGACGGCCCUAUGGGUUGUAAACUGCUUUUAUGCGGGGAUAAAGUGAGGGACGUGUCCUUCAUUGCAGGUACCGCAUGAAUAAGGACCGGCUAAUUCCGUG